rnacentral:piRNA from 1 species
UGGUUUCCCCCAAGGCUGGACUCCAGG